CAAGUAUCGUCUUCAUCCGCUAGAUGCGCCACCGUUACUACUCGGAGUGCACGAAGACUGCCCAUUGUGCGCUUAUUGAUGUCGCUAAUGUCUAUGUAACCAGCAAUAGCGGAGGAGUAGUACUCCGAGUCUUGCAGGGUCUUCCUUCGAUCAAUCUCCGGUAUGCCUUUAGAGCUUCGCUCGCCAAAGGGCGUUCACAUACUGUUCCGCAAUGAGCCAUCAUCAUCCUCUGAUCCCAUGUACUACUACCUCAUCGUAUAUAUUUUUGCGACAGGGGAAUCAUUCGGCGACAAAUUAUGAACGAAGGAAACAGUUGUUGCGUAAGCAAUCUGGAUGGACAAAUACAUCUGAAUAAGGUCAAAUCGAUCAGACGUUACCCGUUCUCUCAGGAGGAAUAGCUGUCAUGUUUAUUACCAAGCCUCACAGACCUGGAGAGAUGUUAGCUUUAGUCCAGUGAAUGAAUAGAGGCGAUGAUGGGGUUCGGCCGCCCAAUAAUGAAGAAGGCUUGUGCGAACGUAUGCAUAUGCUUGGCGACGGUGAGCAUCGGUUAGUCGAGUCCUGUGGCAUACAUCGAGUCGAAUAUUUAGUUGGCCAAGAAGAGUUGUAACAACAUUGCCUGCUGCAAGUAAC
rnacentral:sRNA from 1 species